UUUGCCUACGGGGCGCAGCAGUGAGGAAUAUUGGUCAAUGGGCGCGAGCCUGAACCAGCCAAGUCGCGUGAGGGAAGACGGUCCUAUGGAUUGUAAACCUCUUUUGUCGGGGAGCAAAAGACGCCACGCGUGGCGUUCCGAGAGUACCCGAAGAAAAAGCAUCGGCUAACUCCGUGCCAGCAGCCGCGGUAAUACGGAGGAUGCGAGCGUUAUCCGGAUUUAUUGGGUUUAAAGGGUGCGUAGGCGGACUGUUAAGUCAGCGGUAAAAGCCCGGGGCUCAACCCCGGCGAGCCGUUGAAACUGGC
rnacentral:rRNA from 1 species